UACGAAGGGGGCUAGCGUUGCUCGGAAUCACUGGGCGUAAAGGGUGCGUAGGCGGGUCUUUAAGUCAGGGGUGAAAUCCUGGAGCUCAACUCCAGAACUGCCUUUGAUACUGAAGAUCUUGAGUUCGGGAGAGGUGAGUGGAACUGCGAGUGUAGAGGUGAAAUUCGUGGAUAUUCGCAAGAACACCAGUGGCGAAGGCGGCUCACUGGCCCGAUACUGACGCUGAGGCACGAAAGCGUGGGGAGCAAACAGGG
rnacentral:rRNA from 1 species